rnacentral:SRP_RNA from 1 species
CCGCAAGCCCCGCGCAAGGCUGCCCCGCGAACCAUGUCAGGCGGGGAACCGAGCAGCAUUAAGCGGUAAGCGGCUUGUGUUGCGGUUCAGCUUGCGGUUG